CCCAGCUGUUGACAAAGGCCGCACUGUAGAACCCGGGUUUGGUGAAGGGUUGGAUUCCAAGCCACCACUUGUUAGGCCUCCCACUGGUCAUAGCUACACAAAGUGUAAUCAUAAGAAAACAUCGGAGAAACCCCAGUUCAAGGAUAUUAUGCACAAUACCUGACCAGUACUCCUCAAAAUUGAUGUGGUUAUCAAGAACAAGGAAAAUCUGAGAAACUGUCAAGCCAAGAGAAGCCUAUGGAGACAUUACAACUAACUGUAAUAUGAUAUCUUGGGUGGGAUCCUGGAAAAGAAGAAAAGAUAUUAGGUCUCUAGACUUUUGUUGAGUGAAGAACAAUUUACUAUGAGGUGACCUACAAAAACAACACUCAGAAUUCUCUCAAAUCACAUUGGUCAGUGCAAUCAGCUCUCAGAUAUUUGCUUGAGAAGCAGCCACAGGAGGCCAGCAAGAGGCAGAGAAGCUGGGGCCUUCCAAGGGGCGAGAAAGGAAGCAGGAGGAUCUUGGGUCAUGAUGUGGGACCUGAUGACACACAGUGGAACAGCAUCCAGAAGAGCUGCUGAGGUCAAAAAGGGGAAUCAAAAUGGUAGGUCACGGGCUGAAACUGGAGCAGACAGGACCAGGGGCAGUUGCCAGGCUAAAUGGGAGAGCCAGUAAAAAGGGCGGAAAGGGGAUGGAUCCUCCAGUGAGCAGAAAGAAGGGCUGAAGGUUUUCCAGAGGCUUUUCUUCGUGUCAUUACCAGGGUUUCUUGUUGUGGUUUCUUGGAUCUCAAUGAAAGAAUUAGCUAUUCUCUGAGGUACAAAUUAGAGACCUGGAGGGCCAUUUGCUAAAUAAUGUUUAUAAAUUUUUAUAUUAGUUGUCAACAUUUAUAAUUGGAAGAAUUCCCAUAAAGGUCUGGAUUUCCUGCUUUUCCUGAAAAACCAAGAGACCAAGCCAUCUUGGGUCUGCAUUUCUGCAGAGUAACUGUUGGUCUGCUUCUGUAGCUUGUUUCAAUCAUUUGUACUCCCUGACUGGCCCUGAAAGCAUCCAAGUUACUGCCCCUGUGGCACAUGAUUCUUAACCUGAAAACCAAGGUUUUCUGAAACACAGGAGGUUUGUGCUUAAAGCCUCCUUGACUCAUGACACCUUUUUUUUUAAACCACUUUAUUAAGGUAUGAUUGACAUAUGAAAAGCUAUCCAUAUUUUAUGUAUAUACCUUGAUGAGUUUAGAGAUAAGUAUACACUUAUGAAACUCUUAUCACAAUUUAUGCCGUAAGUCCAUCUAUCACUUCUCAACAUUUCUUCCUUUUGCCUUCUUAUUUAUUUAUUAUUGUUAUUGUUGUUGUGAUAAGAAUGCUUAUAAGAUCUACCCCGUUAGAAAACUUUUAGGUAUACAACACAAUAUGGUUAAGUCUAAGCACUAAGCUGUACAAUAUAUUUCAUUUUGUGUAACUCCCACAUCG